rfam:Eubacterium ruminantium strain ATCC 17233 genome assembly, contig: EI46DRAFT_NODE_4_len_581_cov_70_024094.34
AUCGGAGGCGCUCAAAGGUUCCCUCAGAAUGGUCGGAAACCAUUCGAAGAGUGCAAAGGCAGAAGGGAGCUUGACUGUGACACCGACGGGUGGAACAGAUACGAAAGUAGGACUUAGUGAUCCGGUGGUAUAAAGUGGGAUUGCCAUCGCUCAACGGAUAAAAGCUACCCUGGGGAUAACAGGCUUAUCACUCCCAAGAGUUCACAUCGACGGAGUGGUUUGGCACCUCGAUGUCGGCUCAUCGCAUCCUGGAGCUGUAGCAGGUUCCAAGGGUUGGGCUGUUCGCCCAUUAAAGCGGUACGCGAGCUGGGUUCAGAACGUCGUGAGACAGUUCGGUCCCUAUCCGGCGCGGGCGGAGGAUAUUUGAGAGGAGCUGUCCUUAGUACGAGAGGACCGGGAUGGACGGACCGCUGGUGUACCAGUUGCAUUACCAAGUGCAGAGCUGGGUAGCCAAGUCCGGAAAGGAUAAACGCUGAAGGCAUCUAAGCGUGAAGCCAACCUCAAGAUAAGAUAUCCCACUCCCCUGAGGAGUUAAGACCCCUUGAAGACUACGAGGUUGAUAGGCACCGAGUGUAAGUGUGGUAACACAUUCAGCUGAGGUGUACUAAUAGGUCGAGGGCUUAUUCAA